AUUGCAGAGACCCAGCUGGAGGCCAAGGCAGCACUGCAACAGGCUGUGGAGAUGAAGACGCGAGGGAAAAGGCCCACAAGCUGCUGGUGCAUGCGCUCAACAUGAACCCGGACUUUGUGGAAGCUCUGACAGAGCUGGGGACCAUUCUGGAGGAGGAGAAGGAUGUUGUCCAAGCAGACCACCUAUAUACCAAGGCCCUGGCCAUCCCACCAUGCAACGAGAGGGCCCUGGUUAGCCGUGACCGCACACUCCCCCUGGUGGAGGAGAUCGACCAACGCCACGGGUUAUUGACAGUAAAGUAAGCAGGAUGAUGUCCAUCCCCAAGGGUAACUCUGCCCUUAGACGUGUCAUGGAAGAAACCUACUACUACCACACAGUGGCUAUAGAGGGCAACACACUCACUCUGUCUGAGAUCUGCCACAUCAUUGAGACUCGCUACGCCGUGCCCGGCAAGAGCCUCCAGGAGCAGAACGAGGUCAUUGGUGUGGACGCAGCCAUGAAGUACAUUAACACCACGCUGCUGUCCCACACUGUCAAUGACAUCCUGGAGAUCCACCGGCGUGUGCUGGGCUACGCAGACCCUGUAGAGGGUGGGCGGCUGCGUACCAGCCAGGUGUUUGUAGGGCACCACAUCCCACCCCACCCACAGGACCUGGAGCGCCACAUGCAGGAGCUGGUGCAGUGGCUCAACUCAGAGGAGGCCCUGCAGCUGCACCCUGUGGAAUCCGCAGCGCUCACCCAUUACAAGCUGGUGUAUGUGCACCCCUUUGUGGACGGAAACGGGCGCACGUCACGGCUGCUAAUGAACCUGGUGCUCAUGCAGGCACGCUACCCACCCAUCACCGUCCACAAAGAGCAAAUUUCAGAGUACUACACUGCUCUGGACACAGCCAACAAGGGUGACUUCCGCCCCUUCAUCCGCUUCAUAGCCAAAUGCACAGAGAUCACCCUGGAUACCCUGCUGAUCGCCACCACUGAGCACACUGUGGGGCUGCCUGGCUCCAGCCACCACCAGGCCUGUCCCGACUGCAAACAAACCAUCCCUGUCCACAACAGUGAGGGGACGGGAGUGAGUGGUGCAUGACUGUUUGGCUUUGUAUUUCUCUUUAUUUAGAUUUGCUAAUUUGGGCUUAAUCUUGCUCUAAGUGUAAAUAUAUGUUAGUUGAUUUAUGGAUAAAUAGCAGCCCUGUGUCAAUGAUAGCAUGACCUUGAACAUUUUUACUGGGAGAAUGCAUCUUUACAGAAAUGAAUAUUCACAUAUCUCAUGGUUUGUUUCCUCUACCUGGUAUGAGGUGCAGCUGUUUGAACUCAUUAUUACGUAUGUGCUGUGAAUAGAAAACACGUUUUCAGCUGCAGAUUGUUGUCCAUAAAGGGAUACGGGUCAAAUGUUUCUAACAUCGAAUAAACAUAAGGGUCAUGAACUUGUUGGCGCACAGACACAAAUGUACCUGUUUCAUACUCUUGGCAAAGCUACUCAUUGUUUUUAGUGUCGAUUCUAAAGGACAUUUAGGCCUAUAAUUCUGAAUUUGCAUUCCAUUCAUCUGAGUUAUUUUGAUGACUGAGAUGAGUGAAUGCGUUACAUUAACUGAAGGUGUUACGAAUGGGUAAUACAGUAUGUGUACAUGUCUGAGAUGAGGUUGAGUUGUGAUUCUACUUUGAAUUGUUCCCAUUAUGGACAAGAAAUACAGUGCACAGUAAAUCACUUGCUGUGUGCUGACAAACAGUGACGAUUCAACAUGUAAAAGGUUCUGUGGUCAGGCGAUAGGCAGGCCAACAGUCAUGUUAUUCUGUCUUGUCAUUUUGAGAACAUGGUUUGCAUCAAUGUACAGUAGCUCAUCCAACUGGUUCAUAUUCUCUAUUUCACUGAAGCACUUUCAUGUAUUUCAUAUAUUUAUUUUAAUGUAUUAUCUGUUGAAUGUGAUUUCCUUAGUUUCAAAACUCAACAUCUACUAGAAUUGCUUUAAUAAACUUAAGGUCAGAAACGGCAACAAAACCACAAGAUGACAUUUUUACAACACUCAAAUGACAAGUGUAAAACUUGGAACAAGCAGUAAAUAAAAGAAUCACUGAACAAAAGUAGACCAAGUUCAAUCUCCUCACAGGGUUGCGUUGACAAUUUUGUAAAUAAAAAGCUAUUUCUAGUUUACAUUUGUGUUCUCGUAAUAGAAAAAUGUGAACACCAUAACAAUGAUUUCAAAAUUACUACACAAUGUACAUAUAUCAUAUAUUGGACAAACAGAAAGUAACUUCUAAAGCUCAAACAUUUGUAGUCUCUAACUAGAUUAGGCCACUGUGGUGAUAGAACGUCGCUAGAUAUAGCUAAUAAUUCUCAAACAUACAAAACUAUGGCUAAUCACUUGGAGUGUGUGAAUUCUGAACACACAUGACGUUCCCCACUCAUCCAAACAGGAUUACUGGUCUACAGAAUUGUUAACGACCACAUUCAUUUGAAAGGCAAAGGGGACUUAGAAAUUUAGUUCAAACCUUUACAUUCCUAUGAUGUAAUUUAUUGAACUUAUCAAAUCUGCCUACAAUAUGUGGACAUGGAGGGCUCUUGCAAUCAUAACAGCUGCAUAGAUUUUCUUUCUCUCAACAGUGGUCGAUUCACUUGUGGACAGGACUGGUUAGAAUCAGAUGACAAAAGCCAAGGCCCUUUAGUGCUUCCCCAGUGUCAGUUCAUUCCUUACCCCUCUUAUAGCUUACUCAAUACCUUACACAGGAAUGAGCAAAUUGGAAACAAUCUCUGGAAUAAAUGAGAAUACACAAAAAAAGUAUUCCCUUCUAACCUUUCAGGUAAGACAGCCUAAACAUGAUAGGCAAAAAAAAAAAAAAAGGGGCGUUUUAAU